UGGUUUUAUAGGUAGUGGAAAGUUGUUUGCAGAAGUUGCAGGCCACCGUUGGGCCUUCUGGCACUUAAGAAUGAGGCUCCUUUGUAUUCAGUGAGAAAAAAGAAAUUCAGCUGAACACACCCAGGAAAAAGCUCCACAGUGAGAUGAGUCCCUACAGAGACAGAGGCAACACUUUGGUCACCUUUGAUCACACUGAGCAGUGCUUGACCCUACAUGGAUUUACUUGGAAAUUGGAAUCUCCCCAACAGGGU